UACUCGAGUGGCGAACGGGUGAGUAACACGUGGGUGAUCUGCCCUGCACUUCGGGAUAAGCUUGGGAAACUGGGUCUAAUACCGGAUAGGAGCCAUCUUUAGUGUGGUGGUUGGAAAGUUUUUUCGGUGUAGGAUGAGCUCGCGGCCUAUCAGCUUGUUGGUGGGGUAAUGGCCUACCAAGGCGGCGACGGGUAGCCGGCCUGAGAGGGUGAACGGCCACAUUGGAACUGAGAAACGGUCCAA
rnacentral:rRNA from 1 species